rnacentral:rRNA from 1 species
AACCUCCGCAAUGUGAGAAAUCGCGACGGGGGGAUCCCAAGUGCCAUUCUUAACGGGAUGGCUUUUCAUUAGUGUAAAGAGCUUUUGGAAUAAGGGCUGGGCAAGACCGGUGCCAGCCGCCGCGGUAACACCGGCAGCUCUAGUGGUAGCAGUUUUUAUUGGGCCUAAAGCGUCCGUAGCCGGUUUAAUAAGUCUCUGGUGAAAUCCUGUAGCUUAACUGUGGGAAUUGCUGGAGAUACUAUUAGACUUGAGACCGGGAGAGGUUAGAGGUACUCCCAGGGUAGAGGUGAAAUUCUGUAAUCCUGGGAGGACCGCCUGUUGCGAAGGCGUCUAACUGGAACGGUUCUGACGGUGAGGGACGAAAGUUAGGGGCGCGAACCGGAUUAGAUACCCGGGUAGUCCUAACUGUAAACGAUGCGGACUUGGUGUUGGGGUGGCUUUGAGCUGCUUCAGUGCCGAGGGAAGCUGUUAAGUCCGCCGCCUGGGAAGUACGGUCGCAAGACUGAAACUUAAAGGAAUU